UACGUAGGGCGCGAGCGUUGUCCGGAAUUAUUGGGCGUAAAGGGCUCGUAGGCGGUUUGUCGCGUCGGGAGUGAAAACACUGGGCUUAACCGAGUGCUUGCUUUCGAUACGGGCAGACUUGAGGCAUUGAGGGGAGAACGGAAUUCCUGGUGUAGCGGUGAAAUGCGCAGAUAUCAGGAGGAACACCGGUGGCGAAGGCGGUUCUCUGGCAAUGUUCUGACGCUGAGGAGCGAAAGUGUGGGGAGCGAACAGG
rnacentral:rRNA from 1 species